CCUACGGGAGGCAGCAGUAAGGAAUCUUCCACAAUGGACGAAAGUCUGAUGGAGCAACGCCGCGUGCAGGAUGAAGGCUUUCGGGUCGUAAACUGCUUUUAUAUGGGAAGAUUAUGACGGUACCAUAUGAAUAAGGACCGGCUAACUACGUGCCAGCAGCCGCGGUAAUACGUAGGGUCCAGGCGAUAUCCGGAAUUACUGGGCGUAAAGCGUGUGUAGGUGGAUUAAUAAGUGUGAUGCGAAAUCCGGCGGCUCAACCGUUUGGACUGUGUCGCAUACUGUUAGUCUAGAGGACGGCAGAGGUAAGUGGAAUUACGGGUGUAGCAGUGAAAUGCGUAGAUAUCCGUAGGAACACCAAUGGCGAAGGCAGCUUACUGGGCCACACCUGACACUGAGACACGAAAGCGUGGGGAGCGAACAGGAUUAGAUACCCUGGUAGUCCACGCCGUAAACGAUGCAUACUAUUAGUAUGGGGUAUCGACCCCCUGUGCUGAGAAGCUAACGCGAUAAGUAUGCCGCCUGGGGAGUACGAGCGCAAGCUUAAAACNCAAAUGAUAGAGNGNGAGACGNGCGAGACGACGACGAGGGAGAGG
rnacentral:rRNA from 1 species